rnacentral:rRNA from 1 species
CAGGACGAACGCUGGCGGCGUGCUUCAUACAUGCAAGUCGAACGAGAAGCUGACUUCGGUCAGUGGAAAGUGGCGGACGGGUGAGUAAUAUGUAGGAAAUCUGCCCUAGAGAGGGGGACAACAGAGGGAAACUUCUGCUAAUACCCCAUAUGAGCUUAGUUGAAAUACUAAUCUUGAAAACUCCGGUGCUCUGGGAUGAGCCUGCAUCUGAUUAGCUAGUUGGCGGUGUAAUGGACCACCAAGGCGACGAUCAGUAGCUGGUUUGAGAGGAUGAUCAGCCACAAUGGGACUGAGACACGGCCCAUACUCCUACGGGAGGCAGCAGUAGGGAAUUUUGCGCAAUGGGCGAAAAAGCCUGACGCAGCAACGCCGCGUGAACGAUUAAGCCCUUCGGGGUGUAAAGUUCUGUCAGUGGGGACGAAACUUGACGGUACCCACAGAGGAAGCACCGGCUAACUCCGUGCCAGCCGCCGC